CAAGCAGCCUGCUUAUUUUGAAACAACUUCCUGGGUUUCACAGAGGAAGCUCCCCAAGAGAGACAGAGAGAUGGGAAGGGCUCCUUGCUGUGACAAGGCUAAUGUGAAGAAAGGGCCAUGGUCACCAGAAGAGGAUGCAAAGCUUAAAGAUUAUAUAGCGAAACAUGGGACAGGAGGAAAUUGGAUUGCUCUUCCUCUGAAGGCUGGUCUUAAAAGAUGUGGG
rnacentral:misc_RNA from 1 species